AGCGCGGAAAACGCCAAUGCAACCAUUUUAAUCGGAUCCCAGAUUAUUUAAAGCAUAACCCUCAUAUUGGCGAUGAACCAGUUGACAUAGAGGAUUUGGUCAAUAUUGGAAAAGAUUCUGGACCAUGUCCGUAUUAUAUCACAAGAGAGGUUCACAAGGACGUGGACAUCAUAUUUGCACCUUACAACUACUUGAUCAGCAAUGGGUAUAGGAAGUAUUUGAAAGUCAACUGGAAUGAUAGUGUCCUGAUUUUUGAUG